GCUAGGAUCUGGUUUAGGGUGAGGGUUAGGAACUAGGAUCAGGUUUAGGGUGAGGAUUAGGAGCUAGGAUCUGGUUUAGGGUGAGGGUUAGGAACUAGGAUCAGGUUUAGGGUGAGGGUUAGUGUUAGGAGCUAGGAUCAGGUUUAGGGUGAGGGUUAGGAGCUAGGAUCACGUUUAGGUUGAGGGUUAGGAGCUAGGAUCAGGUUUAGGGUGAGGGUUAGGAGCUAGGAUCAGGUUUAGGGUGAGGAUUUGGAGCUAGGAUCUUUAAGGUUAGGUUUUAGGGUUAAAGUUAGGUUUUAAGGUUAAGGUUAGGUUUUAGGGUUAAGGUCAGGUUUUAGGCUUAAGGUCAGGUUUAGGUUUUAUGGUUAAGUUUGAAGUUUAAGGUUAGGUUUUAGGUUUAACGUUAGGUUUUAAAUGGGACUGAAUUGUGUGUCCCCACAAGGUUAGUUAUACAAGACUGUGUGUGUGUGUGUGUGUGUGCCUGUGAAGACUGCAGGGUCUAAUCUUCAGAGAGUAGAUGAAUAGGGGUUAUUAGCCAUGCAGAACACUAAACGAUACAUUUAGAGA
ensembl:lncRNA